rnacentral:rRNA from 1 species
UGGGGAAUUUUGGACAAUGGGCGCAAGCCUGAUCCAGCAAUGCCGCGUGCAGGAUGAAGGCCUUCGGGUUGUAAACUGCUUUUGUACGGAACGAAAAGCCUCUCUCUAAUACAGGGGGUGAUGACGGUACCGUAAGAAUAAGCACCGGCUAACUACGUGCCAGCAGCCGCGGUAAUACGUAGGGUGCAAGCGUUAAUCGGAAUUACUGGGCGUAAAGCGUGCGCAGGCGGUUUUGUAAGACAGUGGUGAAAUCCCCGGGCUCAACCUGGGAACUGCCAUUGUGACUGCAAGGCUGGAGUGCGGCAGAGGGGGAUGGAGUUCCGCGUGUAGCAGUGAAAUGCGUAGAUAUGCGGAGGAACACCGAUGGCGAAGGCAAUCCCCUGGGCCUGCACUGACGCUCAUGCACGAAAGCGUGGGGAGCAAACAGGAUUAGAUACCCUGGUAGUCCACGCCCUAAACGAUGUCAACUGGUUGUUGGGGAUUUAUUUCUUCAGUAACGAAGCUAACGCGUGAAGUUGACCGCCUGGGGGAGUACGGCCGC